rnacentral:misc_RNA from 1 species
UCUCUCUCUUUUUUUUUUUGGGGGGGGUUAGGGGGGAGGAGGUGGCGUUGGUAGUCUUCUCUUAAGGUUCCUUCUGAGCAAGAGUUUAAUCUGCCUAAUCUUGUAGUUGUAUUGUUCUGAUGUGUCAAGAUUGUUUUAUAGGAUAAAUUCUCUAACUUUUUGCCUGGAAUGUUAAUUAUGAUCAAAGCUGAGCAUGCUUUAUCAAGAUUAUUGUGUUCUGCAUAUUCUGCUCCCAUCAAAUUUAAGUCUCACUUUCUGCUUUCAACUAUUUGGGUUUCAAUAAAAAAUGUAGCUUACUUUCUGCAAGGAUCAUUUCUGAUGCACUGAUUACAUGGACAGG